AGUGAACGCUGGCGGUAGGCCUAACACAUGCAAGUCGGACGGCAGCACAGUAAGAGCUUGCUCUUACGGGUGGCGAGUGGCGGACGGGUGAGGAAUACAUCGGAAUCUACUUUUUCGUGGGGGAUAACGUAGGGAAACUUACGCUAAUACCGCAUACGACCUACGGGUGAAAGCAGGGGAUCUUCGGACCUUGCGCGAUUGAAUGGGCCGAUGUCGGAUUAGCUAGUUGGCGGGGUAAAGGCCCACCAAGGCGACGAUCCGUAGCUGGUCUGAGAGGAUGAUCAGCCACACUGGAACUGAGACACGGUCCAGACUCCUACGGGAGGCAGCAGUGGGGAAUAUUGGACAAUGGGCGCAAGCCUGAUCCAGCCAUACCGCGUGGGUGAAGAAGGCCUUCGGGUUGUAAAGCCCUUUUGUUGGGAAAGAAAAGCAGCAGGUUAAUACCCCGCUGUUCUGACGGUACCCAAAGAAUAAGCACCGGCUAACUUCGUG
rnacentral:rRNA from 1 species